UGGAACCACAGGGGGAGCCUAUUUGGCUGAGAUUGGACAGCACGUCCUGACCCUUAGAACCUGUAAGAUUAUUCUUGCGUAGGAAUGUGGAUGGAAAUUGAC
rnacentral:ncRNA from 1 species